rnacentral:rRNA from 1 species
UACGUAGGCAGCGAGCGUUGUUCGGAAUUACUGGGGCGUAAAGAGUGUGUAGGCGGUGCUCUAAGUUCGGUGUGAAAUCUCCUGGCUCAACUGGGGAGGGUGCGCCGGAAACUGGAGUGCUUGAGCGUGGGAGAGGAAAGCGGAAUUCCUGGUGUAGCGGUGAAAAUGCGUAGAUAUCAGGAGGAACACCUGUGGUGUAGACGGCUUUCUGG